UACGUAGGGUGCAAGCGUUGUCCGGAAUUAUUGGGCGUAAAGAGCUCGUAGGCGGUCUGUCGCGUCGGAUGUGAAAAUCCAGGGCUCAACCCUGGACCUGCAUUCGAUACGGGCAGACUAGAGUUCGGUAGGGGAGACUGGAAUUCCUGGUGUAGCGGUGAAAUGCGCAGAUAUCAGGAGGAACACCGGUGGCGAAGGCGGCACUCUGGGCCGGUACUGACGCUGAGGAGCGAAAGCGUGGGGAGCAAACAGG
rnacentral:rRNA from 1 species